AGUAGAGAAAAAGCUUUGAAGAAGCCAACUGAAGAAUCUGCAACACUGUGGACAUUAUGGUUCUAAGAUAAUUCUUCCUAUCGAUUUUUCUCGAUAUGAUAAAGUAUGCAAUCUUCACGCAUCCGGACGGAAAGAGGCCGGUCCAAAGUACUUGAAAAGCAGCGUAAACAAUGCAGAACAACAUUUCACUUCACAUAUCCCGAAAAGCGGUUCAACGGCUUCCCCCUCUGAACACCACAAUCACACCUAUCCCAGAACUGGAGAUGGAAGUGGAAGUGGAGCUGGCACUGGAACUGGACAGGGCAUGGGAAAUACGAAGAGGAGAUCAAUUCAAGUCCCAAACCAAAAAUCAGCGCGUGAAAUGCACAAAAGAAUAUUUUAGCCGGAACCUUUUCCAUUUCACAAUCACAUUUCCCAACUGCAAUGGACCAACAAAAAUUACAUAAAAAAUGCAAUUUCUUUUUAUUUCCCCAUUCCUGCAUUGAUAGCCAAAGAUUUUUGAUGAACUUGCCAAAGUUUAUUAACAAAAAGGAAAAAAAAG